GAUGAAGAACUUAGCGAAAUGCGAUACGUAAUGUGAAUUGCAGAAUUCAGUGAAUCAUCGAAUCUUUGAACGCACAUUGCGCCUGCCAGCACUCUGGCAGGCAUGCCUGUUCGAGCGUCAUUUCAACCAUCAAGCCCUAGGCUUGCGUUGGAGCCCUGCGGCUGCCGCAGGCCCCUAAAAGCAGUGGCGGGCUCGCUAUCACACCGAGUGCAGUAGAUUACUCUUCGCUCAGGGCGUGUGGCGGGUUCCAGCCGUGAAACCCCCUACUUCUCAAGGUUGACCUCGGAUCAGGUAGGAAUACCCGCUGAACUUAAGCAUAUCAAUAAGCGGAGGA
rnacentral:misc_RNA from 1 species